rnacentral:rRNA from 1 species
GAUGAACGCUGGCGGCGUGCUUAACACAUGCAAGUCGAACGGUGAGGCAGAGCUUGCCCUGUGGAUCAGUGGCGAACGGGUGAGUAAAACGUGAGCAAUCUGCCCCUGACUCUGGGAAAAGCGCUGGAAACGGCGUCUAAUACCGGAUAUGAGCUGCGGCCGCAUGGUCGGCAGCUGGAACGAUUUUUCGGUUAGGGAUGAGCUCGCGGCCUAUCAGCUUGUUGGUGGGGUAAUGGCUGACCAAGGCGUCGACGGGUGGCCGGCCUGAGAGGGUGACCAGCCACACUGGGACUGAGACACGGCCCAGACUGCUACGGGAGGCAGCAGUGGGGAAUAUUGCACAAUGGGCGGAAGCCUGAUGCAGCAACGCCGCGUGAGGGAUGACGGCCUUCGGGGUGUAAACCUCUUUUAGCAGGGAAGAAGCGAAAGUGACGGUACCUGCAGAAAAAGCGCCGGCUAACUACGUGCCAGCAGCCGCGGUAA